GAUGAAGAACGUAGCGAAAUGCGAUAAGUAAUGUGAAUUGCAGAAUUCAGUGAAUCAUCGAAUCUUUGAACGCACAUUGCGCCCGCCAGUAUUCUGGCGGGCAUGCCUGUUCGAGCGUCAUUUCAACCAUCAAGCCCCCGGCUUGUGUUGGGGACCUGCGGCUGCCGCAGGCCCCGAAAAGCAGUGGCGGGCUCGCUGUCACACCGAGCGUAGUAGCAUACAUCUCGCUCUGGGCGUGCUGCGGGUUCCGGCCGUUAAACCACCUUCAUAACCCAAGGUUGACCUCGGAUCAGGUAGGAAGACCCGCUGAACUUAAGCAUAUCAAUAAGCGGAGA
rnacentral:misc_RNA from 1 species